GACGAACGCGUGGCGGCGUGCCUAAUACAUGCAAGUCGAGCGAAGUUUUUCUGGUGCUUGCACUAGAAAAACUUAGACGGCGAACGGGUGAGUAACACGUAAAGAACCUGCCUCAUAGACUGGGACAACUAUUGGAAACGAUAGCUAAUACCGGAUAACAGCAUUAACUGCAUGGUUGAUGUUUAAAAGUUGGUUUUGCUAACACUAUGAGAUGGCUUUGCGGUGCAUUGGCUAGUUGGUGGGGUAAAGGCCUACCAAGGCGACGAUGCAUAGCCGACCUGAGAGGGUGAUCGGCCACACUGGGACUGAGACACGGCCCAGACUCCUACGGGAGGCAGCAGUAGGGAAUCUUCCGCAACGGGCGAAAGCCUGACGGAGCAACGCCGCGUGAGUGAAGAAGGAUUUCGGUUCGUAAAGCUCUGUUGUUAGGGAAGGAUGAUUGUGUAGUAACUAUACACAGUAGAGACGGUACCUAACCAGAAAGCCACGGCUAACUACGUG
rnacentral:rRNA from 1 species